GAGAUGAUCAGUACGCGGAGGGAUCUGAAGACAGACUUCCUCCUCCGGACAGCCCUUACUUCCUCACAGACCCUCAGCUCUGGUACAGACCCGCUCCACUCAGCAGGCCACUUCCUGUCAGGACAGGAAGUGCCUGCGCUAUAAGCCUGUCACCUGAGGAUGCUUAUUCACACCACACAGUUACAAUACAACAACAGUCUUCAACACUUUAGACUAUAUCCUGACUUUCUUAUUUUUAUUAUGUGAUUCUCAGAAAUAAUGCUCAUAAUUUGUUCAUAUCUCACAAUCUUGUUUUAUCAUAAUUCUAAGUUUGCAUCUUUAUAUCUUGUAAUUCUUAGUUUAUAUCUCGCAAUUUUAACCCUUUUCAUAAUUCAGUUUUUAUAAUUUACAGUUUUAGCUUUUUUCUCAAAAUUGAGUUUAUAUCUUGUAAUUUUUACUUUUUUCUUCAAGUUUACAACAGAAAAAUACAGCUAAUUGUUUUGUCUGAAUUUUUAUCUCAAGAAUGUGAUGCAUUUCUGAGAUAUAACCGCAAGAAAUACAACACUUCAUGAAAUAAAAAGGAGUGAUCUCCUCAGUCCUGAGCCCUGUGUCGACUGUGUGUGUGUGUGUGUGUGUGUGUGUGCUGCAGUGUGCCCGAGCUGGCUGAAGAGGGCGCUAGUGGCGUCCGCGGCCCGGUGCUGUUCCACCCCCCGCCCAACUGCAGGAUCAGAGAGGUGCAUUGUGGGAGUCAGGUCCGGCUUGUCGUCAUAGCCAUUCGAGACAUUGCCAAAGGAGAGGAGAUCACCGUGGACUACAGCCUGACCGACUGGGGAGAGAAUACCAUGGGCUUUCACACUGCAGUGUCCCCGCGCGGGUUUGACUGUGGAUUCAACCCAGAGAGCACCAUCAAGAAGGAGGAGGAGCCGGGUUCACUCCCUCUGUCUCUCACUGUUUCUGACUACCUCACUCCGUCCUGGUCUCUGUCUCCCUCCUCCUCUCCACUGUCUCACUCCGAGGCCAGCGACUCCGACCGAGAGGACGAGGAGGAGGAGGAAGACGACGACGAUGAUGAUGACGACGACGAAGAGGACCUUGAGGACCUGCGGGGACGCAUGAUGAGACGCCGCAAGAAACGCAAAACCUCAGCGACCGUCAAGAAGAAAGCCCAGCCACGCCCCCUGUCCUUCGCAUGCCCCGCCCCUUCCUCACCGGCGCCCUUCCAGCAGCCUUUAGCCCCGCCCACAACGAACAUCAACAAUAAUAUCAACAUAAACAUCGGUGCGAGUGGCACGCUCUCCCGCAGACAGCACUGUCCCUACUGUGGGCGUCACUUCCGCUCCCUCGCUAGACACCUGGAGAAACACCACGAGCAGCAGCCCGAGGUCCGAGCCGCCAUGGAGCUGUCGCACCCCCCCGCCUCCUCGCACCCCUUCACCUCUCCCGCUCAGCCCUCGUCCUCCCUGGGUACAACCUCCCUGUUCUCCCGCGAGCGAGACUCUUCGUCUUCAGCUCCGAAAUCCGGAGGUGUCUCCUUCUCGCUCUCGCUGUCUCCGCCUCCUGCCUCCAGUACCUCAAAAAAGAGCUCAACGUCAUCGCCUAAAAAGCCAGCCGCUAACAAGAGCCCUGCUGUCUCACCCAACCCUCCCGCCAGGAGAGGACGGCCACCGAAGAAAGAGAAAGAACAGCCGCAGAAGAAGCAGGAGGAGGCGCCUCCAACGCCCGGGAAACAGGAGGAGGAGGAGUUCGACAUGAGAGAAGACGUAAGCACAGAGGACAAGGAUGGUGAAAUGACGAGUGCUCACAUGCCUCCUCUGCUGUCGUCUCUCUCCACACUGGUGCUGUAUCUCCGGCGGCAGCAGCACGCCUCGUUCCUGUCCCUGUCCCGCGCUCCUCCAUCGGCCGAGGCCUGGCGUCUGCUCUGUCACUCCAGCCUGGCUCUGCUGAUCCUCUUCAACCGUCACCGUGAGUGUGAGGUGGCCAAGCUCUCGGUGCAGGACUACCGCGGCCGCACCUCUCCCUCCUCUCCCUCUCUGGAGGCGGCUCUGUCCCCGUUCGAGCGUGCUGUGCUCUGUCUGCUGCCGCGGGUGGGAGUCCUGGGCAAACGUGGACGUGUCCAGACACUCAUCCUUCCUCCGCACUCAGAGGCGUGUCUGGAUCUGCUCCUGAAGACGUCUGCAGACGUGGGCGUGGAUCCCCAGAGCCCCUAUGUGUUCUCCCGGCCGUAUCACUCCCCGGCCACACCUCUGCGCGGGACAGACCUGCUGCGGAGCCUAGCGCGCUCUAGCGGUGCGAAGAACCCCGCGGCGCUCACCGCCCCCCGAACACGCCGACAGGUGGCCAUCCUGACCCAGCUGCUGCUGCUGGAGGAGGGCGAGCGCACACCGGGCACAGCCACCAGACGCCUGGAGGACUUCCUGCAGAGCGAGUAUCACGUGACCCAGAGCUGUGCUCGGAUUGGUCAGGACCCGGCGCUGAUGAACCGUGUGGGGAGAGUGGUUCUGUACGGAGAGAGAGAGGGAGUGCUGUUCAGAGGAAUGAGCCUGCAGCACAUCUGCCUCGAGCUGGACGUGAUGUCGGGGAACUCUGCUGACUCAUUCUCGGAGGAGUCUGAUGGAGAGGCCAGUAAGAGUAAAGACUCUGUGAAGAAGAAGAAGCAAGGGUCGAGUACUCGAGCGCCGCGGCUGAAGAAGAGCAGUCCUCAUCCGUCCAGCAGCUCACCGUCAGCAGCACUCAAGAGACGCAGCGCUCCGCUCAAGACCGGGAAGCGCGGCGUGCUGAAGCGGCCGUGGUCGGAGGCUGAGCGAGUGGCAGUGGAGACGCACCUGAAGAGGAACAUCAUGGAGCUGCGUGUUCCUGCUAAAGCAGACUGUGAGCGCUGUCUGCAGCUCUGUCCUCUGCUGGUCAGUAACCAGCGCGACUGGAGGGCCAUCAAGUUCUACUGCCACAACCGCAUCCAGCUGCUGAGGAAACAGGGACGACGAGACGGGAACACAGCCGCCGUCUGCUAACCUCAUCAUUCACAUCCUCACGCAGACCACUUCUGUGGAAAACACAACCAAGAUUCACCGGAGCCAUCUUUAAUAUCUCAGCCAAGUGCCAAAAAUACAAAACGCCACACACAAGUAUCAUAACACGUGUGCUCUCUUUCCCACUAAAAUAUCCACUUCUGUGUAAACUGCUGCACAUUUAUCAUCAUCAGAGAAUAAAGAGUCACGUGACUGCUAUGAUCUUAACUCGUGUGGAAAAGAGUUGUGUUGAGAUUAAUUCAGCUCGGUGAGUCUGUGAUGACACCGUUGUGUUGAAUAUUUCCUGAACUCUUCUUCUAAGCUCACACACACUGCAUGCUCACACACACACACACACACUCUCUCCCCACAUCCCCAUGUGUGUGUGACUCCAGGACCGUUUCUGUUUCACACACACACGUGUUCAGACUCCUCAGAAACACAGCAGCGAUGAACCGAUCAUAACUCUCUACAAGGACAGUUUUUACACACUGAUGGGUGCGGACUGGCUCUCUCUCAGUUGUAAAACAGUGUUGGAUCAUCUGGGACCAGUUUUUCUCAGUUUCACCUCAUGUGUCUGGAGUCUGAUUCUCUAUCAGGAUCAAUCACUCCCAGAUCAUACUUCACACUCAGAUCAACAGUGAUUUGUGUUUUCUGUUUAUCAGUAUCAAUAGUGAUUCUCAUUACUGUAAUGCAUUGAUAUAAAUACAAAAUAUAUAUAUAAUUUUCUUUUUUUUUUUUUCUUUUUUUUCUACAGAAUAUUUUUUGCAUUUCACUAAUAAUAUUUGCAGCUAAUAGCAUCAAAAAGCAGAAACUCCCAGUGGUCUGAGAAACGGGCUUCUUUUAUUUUCGUUGUUUUUGCAGUUGGGCUGACCUGAGAUAUCUGGAGCUGUUCUCCACCGUGAGAUUCAUCCGUCUGUGUUCUCAAGUGCUGGUUGCCUUAACUCUUGUUGUUUUAUUGGUUAUAUAUAGACCUCGUCUGGCUGCAGCUGGUAUUAAACCCAAUCACAUUCACUUGUUUCUGUGCUUCAUCAGUCCAGCUCAACAGGAGCACUGUGUUUUAGGGAUCAUUGAGUUUGGAGAUCAGCUGAUGUUUCAUCCCAUUGGAGUUUGUAUUGCUCACCUGUGCCAAUCAGAACACGAUUGAUUGAUGAAAUCCGACUGUAGAAGGACACUGAAUCUCCUCUCUCUCUCUCUCUCCUGUACAGUCGUCUGAUCUCUGAUCUGUGUUCAGUGACGUAUCCUAACAUCAUAUUAGCUGUUAAAAGUGUUUUCAUUGUGUGAUGAUGUACAUUCUGUAAAUAUGACUUGUAUGAAGUAACACGUUUAAAAGUUGUUUUCUUAAAUGCUGUUGUAAAGGUAUAUCAGAUUUUAGAGAGACGAUAUCUUGACAAAUACAGAGCUUAAAGUCACUGCGAAGAAAAACUGAAUUUCAGAUUGUAAUGUCUUUUUAUUAAAUUACAAACAUGGAAACAUUAGUCUGUGUGUCUGGUGUCAUUUCUGAUUUAUAUUUCUCACACAUCACAAGCUCACAUGCAUGUCGUAAUAAAUGCUAAACAGCCUCUGGUGCUCUU
ensembl:lncRNA